rnacentral:rRNA from 1 species
GACAGAGGUGCCGAGCGUUAGGCGGAAUCACUGGGCUUAAAGCGUGUGUAGGCGGACCUGUAAGUGCCUUGUGAAAUCCCAUGGCUCAACCAUGGAACGGCUGGGCAUACUGCGGGUCUUGAGCUGUCUAGGGGCAACCGGAACAAACGGUGGAGCGGUGAAAUGCGUAGAUAUCGUUUGGAACGCCAAUGGUGAAAACAGGUUGCUGGGGACAUGCUGACGCUGAGACACGAAAGCCAGGGGAGCGAACGGG